GAGUUUUAAGUCAUUAAGUAAUGAUAUUUUAUUUGCACUAAAAAGGAAAAAAACUUG
rnacentral:tRNA from 1 species